GCCUAGAAAUCCUGAGAUAGUUCAGCAGUAGAGCAUGAGACUCUUAAUCUCAGGGUCCUGGGUUCAAGCCCCAUGUUGGGCA
rnacentral:tRNA from 1 species